rnacentral:rRNA from 1 species
CAGCCGCCGCGGGAAUACGUAGGUGGCAGGCGUUAUCCGGAAUUAUUGGGCGUAAAGCGCGUGUAGGCGGUUUUUUAAGUCUGAUGUGAAAGCCCACGGCUCAACCGUGGAGGGUCAUUGGAUACUGGAAAACUUGAGUGCAGAAGAGGAAAGUGGAAUUCCAUGUGUAGCGGUGAAAUGCGCAGAGAUAUGGAGGAACACCAGUGGCGAAGGCGACUUUCUGGUCUGUAACUGACGCUGAUGUGCGAAAGCGUGGGGAUCAAACAGGAUUAGAUACCCCCGUAGUCCCUGUCUCUUAUAC